GAAAUGUUAGUAAAUUUUUAUAUCACCUCGUCAAGAUGAAGUAACUGGUUAACUCCCAGUACAUUUCA
rnacentral:tRNA from 1 species